AAUUGAAUAUGUAUUGAUUUAGAUGGAAGUUUGGUUAGAUUCCAAUACGGUCCCGCCACUGUAAUGAGCAGCUAUGCUAUAAGUCAGGUCUUUCUGUUUCAAUACCCCGUACUAUUGUUUCGAGGCAAGACAAUAGGGCACAU
rfam:Enterococcus sp. 9D6_DIV0238 scaffold00002, whole genome shotgun sequence.